UUGCAAUAAUGAAUGACUUAUUCUCUCUACUCUCUAACACGUUUCUUCUGCACACCUAUAUAUAACCCCAAAACUUGUCCAUAAAUCUCCAAUCUCAAAAGUCUUCACUACCACUACCUUUCUCCAUCUCUUUAGUUCUUCCUACUACCAUGCUAUUGCUACCAUAUCCUUUGCCCAAGAUCUUGUUGCUGGAGUUGAAGCUACUGAUUUAUAGAACAAUGACUUAUUUUUGUGUUCAUCAUCGACUGUAAUUUCUUUGAUUAAUUAGAGAAACUUGCUAACAAAUGCAAUGAUCUGUUUAAGACCCACACAAUGGUUAUUCCAACGACACUUCUAUGACACAAUCAUAGUUUUGAUAGUGGCCAGUCUUCGGGACGAAGACCAAGUGGGUCUUCAGGAGGAGCAGGAGGACCGAUUCGUCGGCGUCAGUCGACCACAACUCCAUCUGUCUUUCUGCCCCAGGUCUCAGAAUACGAUCCUGAGCCUGAAGAGAGGAUCGAUAAAGAAUUGUGGGCACUUUUGGAGAACAAUAAAGUUUCUGAUCAAAGACAAGUAUUCAUAAUGUCCAACAUGACACUUAAGGAGAAGACGAUGUUGCUAAAUACUCCUCCGUGUAAUGUGUACAUGAUGGCAAGGCAGCUCGAGAAAAACCACCACCAAAACUACGGCAGAAAAAGAGGUGAGAUACAGAUGAGGGAAGAGCGAAGAACAAGAUGAGAAUACCUCAUCUGAUGCUUGCCUAGAGGUUCAGUUUGGAAUAGUCUCAUCUGAUGCUUCAAAACUAUAUAUUGGUUACUGUGCUCCACUGUAAUGUUUGAUCAAGACUUAGUAUUUGUGUUUUGAAUUUUUUAUGAUCAAGACUUAGUAUUUGUGUUUUGAAUUUUUUAUUUAUGAAUGUUUUAUGGAUACCUCAUCUGAUGCUUGCCUAGAGGUUCAGUUUGGAAUAGUCUCAUCUGAUGCUUCAAA